rnacentral:rRNA from 1 species
GACAGAGGUGCCAAGCGUUAGGCGGAAUCACUGGGCUUAAAGCGUGUGUAGGCGGAUCGUUAAGUACCUUGUGAAAUCCCACGGCUCAACCGUGGAACUGCUGGGUAUAUUGGCGAUCUUGAGCCACCUAGGGGCGAGCGGAACAAGCGGUGGAGCGGUGAAAUGCGUAGAUAUCGCUUGGAACGCCAAUGGUGAAAACAGCUCGCUGGGGGUGUGCUGACGCUGAGACACGAAAGCCAGGGGAGCGAACGGG